rnacentral:misc_RNA from 1 species
UACGUAGGGUGCAAGCGUUAUCCGGAUUUAUUGGGCGUAAAGAGUAUCGUAGGCGACUCAUCAAGUUAUAUUUCAAAUACCGGGGCUCAACUUCGGAAAGGGAUGUAAUACUGUUGAGAUUGAAGGACAUCGGGGCUACUGGAACUUAUCGUGUAGGAGUGAAAUCCGUUGAUAUGAUAAGGAACACCAAGGGCGAAGGCAGGUAGCUAGAUGUCUCUUGACGCUGAGGAACGACAGCUAGGGUAGCGAAAGGG